rnacentral:rRNA from 1 species
AGUGAACGCUGGCGGUAGGCCUAACACAUGCAAGUCGAACGGCAGCACAGUAAGAGCUUGCUCUUACGGGUGGCGAGUGGCGGACGGGUGAGGAAUACAUCGGAAUCUACUUUUUCGUGGGGGAUAACGUAGGGAAACUUACGCUAAUACCGCAUACGACCUACGGGUGAAAGCAGGGGAUCCUCGGACCUUGCGCGAUUGAAUGAGCCGAUGUCGGAUUAGCUAGUCGGCGGGGUAAAGGCCCACCAAGGCGACGAUCCGUAGCUGGUCUGAGAGGAUGAUCAGCCACACUGGAACUGAGACACGGUCCAGACUCCUACGGGAGGCAGCAGUGGGGAAUAUUGGACAAUGGGCGCAAGCCUGAUCCAGCCAUACCGCGUGGGUGAGGAAGGCCUUCGGGUUGUAAAGCCCUUUUGUUGGGAAAGAAAAGCAGCAGGUUAAUACCCCGCUGUUCUGACGGUACCCAAAGAAUAAGCACCGGCUAACUUCGU